AAUCAACGCUGGCGGCGUGCCUAACACAUGCAAGUCGCACGAGAAAGGGGAGCAAUCCCUGAGUACAGUGGCGCACGGGUGAGUAACACGUGAAUUAUCUACCUCCGAGUGGGGAAUAACUGAGAGAAAUCUUAGCUAAUACCGCAUAACACUUACGAGUCAAAGCAGCAAUGCGCUUGGAGAGGAGUUCGCGGCAGAUUAGUUAGUUGGCGGGGUAANGGCCCACCAAGACGAUGAUCUGUAUCCGGCCUGAGAGGGCGCACGGACACACUGGAACUGAAACACGGUCCAGACUCCUACGGGAGGCAGCAGUGGGGAAUUUUGCGCAAUGGGGGAAACCCUGACGCAGCAACGCCGCGUGGAGGAUGAAAUCCCUUGGGAUGUAAACUCCUUUCGAUAGGGAAGAUAAUGACGGUACCUAUAGAAGAAGCCCCGGCUAACUUCGUGCCAGCAGCCGCAGUAAG
rnacentral:rRNA from 1 species